UUCCCCUAGUAAUGGCGAAUGAAGAGGGAAGAGCCCAAAUUUGUAAUCUGACUCUUUCAGAGUCCGAGUUGUAAUUUUAAGAACUGUUUUCAGUGCUGGACCAUGUACAAGUCUGUUGAAAAGCAGCAUCAUAGAAGGUGAUAAUCCUGUUCAUGAUAUGGACUACCAGUGCAAUAUGAUACAGUCUCUAAGAGUCGAGUUGUUUGGGAAUGCAGCUCAAAGUGGGUGGUAAAUUCCAUCUAAGGCUAAAUAUUGAUGAGAGACCGAUAGCAAACAAGUACCGUGAGGGAAAGAUGAAAAGAACUUUGGAAAGAGAGUUAACAGUGCGUGAAAUUGUUAAAAGGGAAACAAUUGAAGUUAGACUUGUUGUUAUUAGUUCAACCUUAAGGGGUGUAUUCUAAUGAUCAACAGACCAACAUGAGUUUUUGAGUGUUGGAUAAGGGUUUAAGGAAAUGUAGCAGUCUCUGACUGUGUUAUAGUCCUGAGCUUUGAUACAAUGCUUAAGAUUGAGGGAUGCAGUAAGCCAAAUUUAUUUGGUGGGACACAUUUUGUCCUUCUUACUGAGGAUGUUGGUGCAAUAGCUUUAAAUGACCCGUCUUGAAACACGGACCAAGGAGUCUAACAUGCUUGCGAGUAUUUGGGUGAUUGAAACCCUUAUGCGUAAUGAAAGUAAAGUAAAUGGGAACUUGGCUUAGAAAGGGCACCAUUGACCAGUCCAGAUAUAUUUAUAUGAUGGUACUGAGUAAGAGCAAGUAUGUUGGGACCCGAAAGAUGGUGAACUAUGCCUGAAUAGGGUGAAGCCAGAGGAAACUCUGGUGGAGGCUCGCAGCGGUUCUGACGUGCAAAUCGAUCGUCAAAUUUGGGUAUAGGGGCGAAAGAC
rnacentral:rRNA from 1 species